CCUACGGGAGGCAGCAGUGGGGAAUCUUGCACAAUGGGCGCAAGCCUGAUGCAGCCAUGCCGCGUGUAUGAAGAAGGCCUUCGGGUUGUAAAGUACUUUCAGUCGUGAGGAAGGUGUUAAGGUUAAUAACCUUAGCAAUUGACGUUAGCGACAGAAGAAGCACCGGCUAACUCCGUGCCAGCAGCCGCGGUAAUACGGAGGGUGCGAGCGUUAAUCGGAAUUACUGGGCGUAAAGGGCACGCAGGCGGUUAAUUAAGUUGGAUGUGAAAUCCCCGUGCUUAACCUGGGAAUGGCAUUCAAGACUGGGUAGCUAGAGUAUUGUAGAGGGGAGUAGAAUUCGAUGUGUGGCGGUGAAAUGCGUAGAGAUGUGGAGGAAUACCGGUGGCGAAGGCGGCCCCCUGGACAGAGACUGACGCUCAUGUGCGAGAGCGUGAGGAACAGACAGGAUUAGAUACCCAGGUAGUC
rnacentral:rRNA from 1 species